CUAAGCGUGAAGUGAAGCACAUAAACCUGCUGAAUUUAAGCAUAUAAGUAAGUGGUGGAAAUUAAACCAACUGGGAUCUCUUCAGUAAUUGCGCAUGAACCAGGAUAUGCUUAGCUUGACAAAUGGAGCUGCUGGCUCUGAAUUGUAUUGUGGGAAUGUAUUACCAACAGAGGUGCAGGUGUCAGCCAUUUGAAAGAAAGCAUCAAUGAGGGUGAGAGUCCUGUUUGUCAUGUGCAGCCUUCUGUGCACGGUGUAUAUUUGCUGAGUCACACUCCUYGGCAUUGGAAUGCAAAGUGGGUGGUAAGUUUCAUGCAAAGGUAAAUAUGCAAUUGAGACUGAUAGCGCACAAGUACCAUGAGGGACAUAUGAAAAGGACUUUGAAMAGAGAAUUAAAUGAGUUUGUAUUUGCUAAACACAAAGUAAACAGACUUGAUUUCCUCAGUGAGAUUGUAGUGMUUGCUURACAAUGGGUUUUGGCUGCAAGUGCAAUAAUUCUUGCUUUGUGUGCCAGUUUUUAUGUGGACAUUUGAUUACCUUUGCACAUGAAUGGUAAUUUUCCUGCGGGGUGUGGAUUGCAUAUGCAUGUAAUGAUUUGCAUGUUUGUUAAAUGUGUCUGGUGUAUUUGUUUGUGUCCUUGUCCUUGAGGUUGCUUUCUCCCUUGGGCUUACAUGCCCUGGCACACACAUUCUGGCAAAAUGCUUCUGCUUGACCCGUCUUGAAACACGGACCAAGGAGUCUAACAGAUGUGCAAGUUUGAAGGUGGUAUACCUGUGUGUGUAAUGAAAGUAUUGGCUGGGAUAUUUGCACCAGCAGCCGACUAAUUAGCAGACAGAGGUUUGAGUUGGAGCAUAUCUAUUAGGACCCGAAAGAUGGUGAACUAUGCUUGAACAGAAAGAAUUCAGAGGAAACUCUGAUGGAGGUUCGUAUCGAUACUGACGUGCAAAUCGUUCGUCAUAUUUGGGUAUAGGGGCGAAA
rnacentral:rRNA from 1 species